GACGAACUGUCCUAACGUUGUUCGGAAUCACUGGGCUUAAAGGGCGCGUAGGCGGUCAGCACAAGUCAGUUGUGAAAUCUCCGGGCUUAACUCGGAAAGGUCAACUGAUACUGUGCGACUAGAGUGCGGAAGGGGCAACUGGAAUUCUCGGUGUAGCGGUGAAAUGCGUAGAUAUCGAGAGGAACACCUGCGGCGAAGGCGGGUUGCUGGGCCGACACUGACGCUGAUGCGCGAAAGCCAGGGGAGCGAACGGG
rnacentral:rRNA from 1 species